AAAAAGGCUCUUUUCAGGGCCAUACAAAUUUAGUAAAGGAGUUAU
rfam:Stegodyphus mimosarum contig23894, whole genome shotgun sequence.